UGGUCUGUUAGUUCAUGUGAUUUUCUUCUGAUUUUUUGGUGUCUGUUCAUGUGAUUUUUUGGUAUGUCUGUUCAUGUGAUUUUCUCCUGAUUUUUUGUGUCUGUACAUGUGAUUUUCCUUUGAUUUUUUGGUCUUCUGUAUGGUCUGACUGUUUGUGUUGUUUAUCAUUGAUUUUUUCUAUUUGGGUUUUUUGGUUUUAUUUAUGUGGUAAAAGAGGAAGAGGCAGGACAGAGGAAGCAGCUGAUGGAGUUAAAAUUCUUCUUCUUUCAGAUGAGAUUCUCAAGAAAAUGCUGGAAGCUAUCAAGAUUGUAAAUGGAUCGAUAUAAUAUAGAGAAGCUGAAAUAAUUGAAGUUGAUGCGCUUGGUGUUGUUGGCACGAAAGAAAAAAGAGGCCCGAUAUGUACAGCUGGCAGGGUUAUACAAAAUUCAAGUAGAUAGUGCAAGCACACACGACCCCUCCCAUUGACCUCAAUGUAAAAUAUUGACUCUUAUUGUGGAUUAGCAGCCUGCUGCUCUUGGAACAGGCCUAGGCCUGUGCCUAUAACCAAGCAAGGAUU